rnacentral:rRNA from 1 species
GACGAACGCUGGCGGCGUGCUUAACACAUGCAAGUCGAACGAAGUGGCGAACGGGUGAGUAACGCGUAAUCAACCUGCCCUUCAGAGGGGGACAACAGUUGGAACCGACUGCUCAUACCGCAUACUGAAGGAGGGUAUUGCGUCUGAUUAGCUAGUUGGGGGGGUAACGGCCCACCAAGGCGAUGAUCAGUAGCCGGGCUUGGAUGGUGAACGGCCACAUUGGGAAUGAGACACGGCCCAGACUCCUACGGGAGGGAGGAGGGGGGAAGCUUCCGCAAUGGAGGAAAGUCUGACGGAGCAAAGCCGGGGGAGGGAUGAUGGCCUUCGGGUUGGAAAGCUCUGUUAAUCGGGACGCGGUACCGGAAUAGAAAGCCACGGCUAACUACGUGCCAGCCGCCGCGGUAAUAC